rnacentral:rRNA from 1 species
CCUACGGGAGGCAGCAGUAAGGAAUAUUGGUCAAUGGACGAAAGUCUGAACCAGCCAUGCCGCGUGAAGGAUUAAGGCCCUCUGGGUUGUAAACUUCUUUUAUCUGGGACGAAAAAAGGGUAUUCUUACUCACUUGACGGUACCAGAGGAAUAAGCACCGGCUAACUCCGUGCCAGCAGCCGCGGUAAUACGGAGGGUGCAAGCGUUAUCCGGAUUUACUGGGUUUAAAGGGUGCGUAGGUGGGUCUGUAAGUCAGUGGUGAAAUCUCCGAGCUUAACUCGGAAACUGCCAUUGAUACUAUAGAUCUUGAAUUAUCUGGAGGUAAGCGGAAUAUGUCAUGUAGCGGUGAAAUGCUUAGAUAUGACAUAGAACACCAAUUGCGAAGGCAGCUUACUACGGAUAUAUUGACACUGAGGCACGAAAGCGUGGGGAUCAAACAGGAUUAGAUACCCUGGUAGUCCACGCCCUAAACGAUGGAUACUCGACAUCAGCGAUACACUGUUGGUGUCUGNGNGAAGANAUAUAUCCACCNGGAGAGANCGCAGAUAGAACGACGAAGAAGUAGUACGGCGUGAGACGUAGACCGACGACGACGACGAGGGAGGAGG